CACGUAGGGUGCGAGCGUUGUCCGGAAUUAUUGGGCGUAAAGAGCUCGUAGGCGGUGUGUCGCGUCGGCCGUGAAAACCUGCAGCUUAACUGUGGGCUUGCGGUCGAUACGGGCAUCACUGGAGUUCGGCAGGGGAGACUGGAAUUCCUGGUGUAGCGGUGAAAUGCGCAGAUAUCAGGAGGAACACCGGUGGCGAAGGCGGGUCUCUGGGCCGAUACUGACGUGGAG
rnacentral:rRNA from 1 species